rnacentral:tRNA from 1 species
UAGGCGGAAGCUAAAGUAUUUAGUGUCUAGCUGUUAAUUAGGAGUUUGUGGUAUUAUUAUUACCACCCGUCUAG